rnacentral:lncRNA from 1 species
AAUAUAUCUAAAAUAUACCAUAAAGUAUCUAAUAUGCACCAAGACAAACCCACAUCAAUCCUCAUAGCAAGCCUUAUGGAUAUAACAACAAACCUACUAUGAUUUUUGACAGGAUAUUGACUAGGCAUGAAGGAAGGCAUAUGUAGUGUUCUAAAUACUGAGCUACCUUCAUUCAAGAUUCAAACUAAUCUAAUUGGUCAGAAAAGUGUUAAGAUUGAUGGGGAUCCCCCCUUUGCUUUUCUUAGACAAUAAUAAAAUUGGUCAGGCCAGCAACGGAACCAAUUAAAUAACCACCACAC